AAAACUUAUUGCUUAUACAUGUUAUAAAUAUACUAUUUAAACGUCUACGGCCAUACCUAGGCGAAAACACCAGUUCCCGUCCGAUCACUGCAGUUAAGCGUCUGAGGGCCUCGUUAGUACUAUGGUUGGAGACAACAUGGGAAUCCGGGGUGCUGUAGGCUCAUCUUUUUUUGUUGAUGAUUUGCUUCUUUUU